CUCAGCAGUUUAGGGGUUGACUUCCCACAAUCAACCAGCUCCCACUCAGACUUCAACAUCUGCAGUCAUCUCUCCUUAACACUGGGUCCAUGGAGGUUUCCCAAGCCAACUGCUGCACAUCAGGGUCCAGGGAACCUUGUGGGUGGAAAGCACAAGAUAGGAACAGAGGUUGUAGUCCCUGUGGUUUGUGAAGAUUAGAGAUGUUUCAGAUAAGUAACCCUGCAGGAUCUCCACUCCACCUACAGCCAACCAGGGACCAGGUGAGACCUUUGGCAUAUUUGGACCCUGACAAUCAGGACAUCCCAGGAAGCAAUCCGUGACAUCCUUGGAUGAAGUCCUUGCCUGUGUAGAGCCAGAGCAUUCUGAUUAACAGCUGUCUCUGAAAGAGCACAGCAGCUCCCCAAGUAAAGGCUGGGCAGACAGAACAAGAAAAUUAAGAGGACAAAUGUGGAGCAACGGGCUACGCACAGACAGCCUGCUUUCCAGUUGAGGCUAGAUC
rnacentral:lncRNA from 1 species